CCUCCUCGUACCUGCGCACUGAACUGGGAAUGGCACACGGGACACAAGUGGGAUUGGGUGCAUUUGUAUCAGAUUACUUUUACGAGUACGAGUACACACACUGAGUAUCGGAGCCGAUGCAUCCCUAGUAUUUUGACGUGUUGUCAUUGUUUACCAUUUAAGUGCCAGUAUUUUAGGGAUAACCUGAAUGGUUGAUGGUCCAACACUAUGGAUAGUCAAACUGAUGCUUUCUCUGUCUGCUGUGAGUACGGGAGUCUGUUGAUACUGAAGUCAGAUCAUAUCUGACCUGGUGUUUGGUUCUGCACACAAAUCCACAGGUUGUGAAGGUCUAGGCUUAUACUGAUAAAGAACCGUUGGCCCUCAUCUGUACCAACGUUAUUUUCUUUCAAGGCCUUCAUCACAAUGUCUGUGAAUGGGCACAAAUUAAAUCCUGCAAAUUGAAGGAAACAGCCAUGAAUACAACAUCAAAUAAAUAUCAGUCGGUGGCAAAAUAUCUGUGAAUUGAAAGGAACUUUUCUUUACAAACAACCGAUGUGUGUUGAUGAGGGCUGAUAUCUGCUCUUUUAUCUGAGUAAAUUCCAGCCUGUCAACAUGUCGACUCACACAGACUAAUGUUGUGCACUAUUAAUACUGUAUUAAUAAUAAUAAUAAUAAUAAUAAUAAUGAUAAUAAUAAUAAUAAUAAUAAUAAUAAUAAUAAUGAUGAUGAUGACUCACUAGAUGCAGGUUGUUAAGCAGGAGAAGAACUGUUAAAGUCUUGUGUAAAAUUUCACACUUACCAGUCAGAACUUUUUAAAAGCCUUUUCAAAGGAAGACUAAUGCACCCUAGUUUUUCUGCACCAGUGGAAAUAAAUGAAACCCUGCUAACUGCAUGUGCAUUCAUUAUAUACCACAGAACUAAACAUGGAACGACAUCAGACUUCUUUGUCCUAAUGUGAUGCAAAGGCUACAGGGAACUCUAAUGUGGAUAAUAGAUGGACAAGCUUUUACAAUUUAAUAUCCUGGUGUAAUAGGGUAUAUAUUAAAAACUGUUUCUAAAAUCUCAUCACAAAACCAAUGACAGAAGUAAGAUUUAAAUAAAAUAAAGAAACAGAUCUGUCUUUCAUCUGAUUUGUAGAUAAAUCACAGAAUGUUGUCUUCAUUCAUCUGGUCUCCAGAGCUGCUGCUGUGCUCAUCCUCAGUUUAUCUCUCAGAUUCAGUAAAGGUGAUCCAUAAACACCAGACGUGGACGCUGUGAGGCACAGAUGUGGGACAGGUUUUCAUCUGGAAAUUGUCUGACAUGACGUCGCAGUAGGACUCAGCCGUACUGACUCUACUGAUGAUCUAUGCUUUGAUCCUGUGGGUUUAUUCUGAACUAGGAAAGACCACUUUCACUUUUUGUGAACCAAACACAUGUAGCAGUGUUUAGUGUCAGCAUGGACACUGGCACUACCUUUGGACGUUUUAAAGUCCGCUGUCAGACCACGCCCCCUCAGUCUGCAGCUGUCCUCACUGUCGUUUUACUGGGUUGUAAAAAUGUUUGGCAUUUUUUGUCUAUACAUGUUUCUGUAUCACAGAACGAAGGGAACCUCAAUGAUUUUUUGAGGCUCAAAUAAAAGUGUAAAUGAAUAAAUGAAG